GACGAACCGUGCGAACGUUAUUCGGAAUCACUGGGCUUAAAGCGCGUGUAGGCGGGACGGCACGUCGGUCGCUGAAAGCCCCCCGGCUCAACCGGGGAAGUGGCGCCGAUACGACCGCCCUGGAGGAACGUAGGGGGACCUGGAACUUCCGGUGGAGCGGUGAAAUGCGUUGAGAUCGGAAGGAACGCCCGUGGCGAAAGCGAGGUCCUGGACGUUUACUGACGCUGAGACGCGAAAAGCCAGGGGAGCCGAACGGG
rnacentral:rRNA from 1 species